UCCGUAGGCGGGAUAAUAAGUCAGUGGUGAAAGUCUGCAGCUUAACUGUAGAAUUGCCAUUGAUACUGUUGUUCUUGAAUUAUUAUGAAGUGGUUGGAAUGAGUAGUGUAGCGGUGAAAUGCAUAGAUAUUACUCAGAACACCUAUUGCGAAGGCAGAUCACUAAUAAUAUAUUGACGCUGAUGGACGAAAGCGUAGGUAGCGAACA
rnacentral:rRNA from 1 species